ACUCCUGUAGCCCAACUGGAAGAGGCGGCUGUCUCAAAAACAGUCUGUGUACGGGUUCAACUCCCGUCAGGAGUACCA
rnacentral:tRNA from 2 species